rnacentral:rRNA from 1 species
UACGUAGGGUGCAAGCGUUAAUCGGAAUUACUGGGCGUAAAGCGUGCGCAGGCGGCUUUGCAAGACAGAUGUGAAAUCCCCGGGCUCAACCUGGGAACUGCAUUUGUGACUGCAAAGCUAGAGUACGGCAGAGGGGGAUGGAAUUCCGCGUGUAGCAGUGAAAUGCGUAGAUAUGCGGAGGAACACCGAUGGCGAAGGCAAUCCCAUGGGCCUGUACUGACGCUCAUGCACGAAAGCGUGGGGAGCAAACAGG